GCUAUUCCUACAGGAAAAAUAGGCACAACAUACAGAAACACAGCCAGCAUGUAGUCAUGUGAAAAUCUAAAUAUAUGAAAAUGGAGAAUAAUCAUAUGGAAAAGGACUGGCCAGCCCAGCAAAAUUAGCCCAUAAGCUGACCGUUGGAUGCUAAAAGAAGUCUCCAAGAAUCUCAAAAUGUAAUUGUGGAUGUUCAUGCAACU